UGGGGAAUUUUGGACAAUGGGCGAAAGCCUGAUCCAGCAAUGCCGCGUGUGUGAAGAAGGCCUUCGGGUUGUAAAGCACUUUUGUCCGGAAAGAAAUCCUUGGCUCUAAUACAGUCGGGGGAUGACGGUACCGGAAGAAUAAGCACCGGCUAACUACGUGCCAGCAGCCGCGGUAAUACGUAGGGUGCAAGCGUUAAUCGGAAUUACUGGGCGUAAAGCGUGCGCAGGCGGUUUGCUAAGACCGAUGUGAAAUCCCCGGGCGUCAACCUGGGAACUGGCAUUGGUGACUGGCAGGCUAGAGUAUGGCAGAGGGGGGUAGAAUUCCACGUGUAGCAGUGAAAUGCGUAGAGAUGUGGAGGAAUACCGAUGGCGAAGGCAGCCCCCUGGGCCAAUACUGACGCUCAUGCACGAAAGCGUGGGGAGCAAACAGGAUUAGAUACCCUGGUAGUCCACGCCCUAAACGAUGUCAACUAGUUGUUGGGGAUUCAUUUCCUUAGUAACGUAGCUAACGCGUGAAGUUGACCGCCUGGGGAGUACGGUCGCAAGAUUAAAACUCAAAUGAAUUGACGGGGUCAUAGCUGUUUCCU
rnacentral:rRNA from 1 species